ACCAUUGUUUUCAAGCUCCAGAAUUUGAUAUAGGACUGUCGUUCUUACCGUUGUGGGUCUUGUGGCAAAUUGGCAAUUGCUGCUGUUGCUUUGAUAUCCAUAUGCAUUUAUUUGGGAGUGAUGCGGAUGACAAAGGAAACAUUAGUUGAAGAAGGUAAGUUGAGAAUGUCAUUGUAAAUAGUACCGGCCUUGAGCACAGAAAAUGCGACCGCUUUGUACCCUAAAAUAUUUUGUUUACAAGAAAUUGCUUGUAGCGGGAUUGGUAUGCAAAAUAAAGCCUCAAAUAAGUAUAUAUGAUAUAUUUCUUUAUUUCGGUGUGAGAGUUAAAUAUAACAUUGUACAUUCAUUACAUUACAGCAAUUGUUACCGUAGUGGGAUUGAUUUGCAAUUCAUAGUUUGUAGGAUGUUCGGAGUUCAAAUCCCGAUGGGAUCAAUCUUUUCUGAAAAUAUUCAUCAAUUUUUUUUGACUGGGUCAUCUGGGGAUCUAGAAAGAUUUUUAUUUUUAUUUUUAUUUUUUAUCCACGGCUAAAAGUACUAAGAGCCCGUGGCAGCUGCCUCCUGUGUGAUUAAUGGCGGAUUUGUUUGCUCGAAUGACUGCUCUCGUAAACAAUACGGGAGUGGUUGUUGAGAUACGAGAGGUCGAGAAGGGAGAUGAUGUUGGGAAAGGCAAACUAGUUGCUAGGCUGCAAAAUGGGAAUCGCAAAGUGAUCAGAGGGAUGAAAUUUUUGGAUCGAAUGGCUUAUUUGGGCCCCAGAAGCAUUCAUGUCACUGCGAUACUUGCUGCUGGUACCACCACGAAGAUCUUUCCAGCGCAGUAUUUCGCUGACUACGGACGGGUCGUCUUUCGGCUAGACAACCAAAAACUGAAGUCUGAUCCAGAAGAGAUGUCCGAUAUCCGCCGCAUGAGGCCGGUUAGGUUCUUAACAUGUGUUUGAGCAAAUCAUCAAAACGGCAGGCGCGGAUCAUGAGCAAUAUUCAUCGGGAGUGGUGACAUUGACUAUGCUGUUUUUCGGGGUGUAAUGAUUUGGGAAAGCUCUUCGAACGAAGAUCAUCUGGUUGAAUUUAGCUGGUUUGUCAUCAGGACUUUAUAUGAUUUCUGAGGAGAUCUUACGUUGGGUUAUGUAAUUUUAUUUACUCUAAUAAGACUAUUGGUGAAGUAAUUGUCAUCUGUGAUGACAAAAACCAUGACUAUUGGUGAAGUAAUUGUCAUCCAAAGCAAGUUAAUAAUGUCAAACCUUUUUAUGCUA